UACGUAGGGUGCGAGCGUUGUCCGGAAUUAUUGGGCGUAAAGAGCUCGUAGGCGGUGUGUCGCGUCGGUCGUGAAAACUUGGGGCUUAACUCUGAGCUUGCGGUCGAUACGGGCAUCACUUGAGUUCGGCAGGGGAGACUGGAAUUCCUGGUGUAGCGGUGAAAUACGCAGAUAUCAGGAGGAACACCGGUGGCGAAGGCGGGUCUCUGGGCCGAUACUGACGCUGAGGAGCGAAAGCGUGGGGAGCAAACAGG
rnacentral:rRNA from 1 species